rnacentral:rRNA from 1 species
AGCGAACGCUGGCGGCAGGCCUAACACAUGCAAGUCGAACGAACCUUUCGGGGGUAGUGGCUGACGGGUGAGUAACACGUGGGAACGUGCCUUUAGGUUCGGAAUAACUCAGGGAAACUUGUGCUAAUACCGAAUGUGCCCUUCGGGGGAAAGAUUCAUCGCCUUUAGAGCGGCCCGCGUCUGAUUAGCUAGUUGGUUGAGGUAAUGGCUCACCAAGGCGACGAUCAGUAGCUGGUCUGAGAGGAUGAUCAGCCACAUUGGGACUGAGACACGGCCCAAACUCCUACGGGAGGAAGCAGUGGGGAAUCUUGCGCAAUGGGCGAAAGCCUGACGCAGCCAUGCCGCGUGAAUGAUGAAGGUCUUAGGAUUGUAAAAUUCUUUCACCGGGGACGAUAAUGACGGUACCCGGAGAAGAAGCCCCGGCUAACUUCGUG